UACGAAGGGGGCUAGCGUUGCUCGGAAUCACUGAGCGUAAAGCGCACGUAGGCGGAUUGCUAAGUCAGGGGUGAAAUCCUGGAGCUCAACUCCAGAACUGCCCUUGAUACUGGCGGUCUCGAGUCCGGGAGAGGUGAGUGGAACUGCGAGUGUAGAGGUGAAAUUCGUAGAUAUUCGCAAGAACACCAGUGGCGAAGGCGGCUCACUGGCCCGGUACUGACGCUGAGGUGCGAAAGCGUGGGGAGCAAACAGG
rnacentral:rRNA from 1 species